GAGAGAGAAAGAGACGAGUAGACGCAAGUUUAUGCACGUUUAGCGCUACCGAUUAUUUAGCUCCUGAGAGACGACUUAAUAUCGCUUUUUAACCUUAAAAUUUAACGACGUAACGAUCUACAAAGCUCCGAUUUUCUGCACUGUUUUCUCUCUGCCUUCCUUUUUUAUUUUACUUCGCUUAUCUGUACUUUUUUUUCAAGGACGAAGCAUGGAAUGACUGGACUGAAUUAAGUGCAUCCAAGAGUUGAAAAGAAAGGAUCUCUCGAAGAGUCCUGUCGAAGCAUUUCGCGAAGAACGGACGUUUACAAGAAAAUGUUUCCACUGAGGAUUGAACGCCGUUGAUCUUCCCAUCGUUUGGAUUGUCAAUGUGUAUGAGUCGUAUCUCGUGGACGGAGCAGUAUGGGAUCUCAGAUAAUUAUGUCGUCGUCCAGCUUGUCGAUAUAAUGUGAAGGGUGAAUGACAUUAACAGACGAUACACGGCGUCCGUUGGGCCGUUGAACCUGCGACUUGCGCCAUAGCCAACGAGUGAUGGUAAAAAUAUUUGCAGCGUUUGUGCGCCGUUACUCAAAGAAACUGGAGCAAACUUCGCUAUCUUUUUUCUGCAGUUUACAUCCGCAAUGCGCGGAUACAAUUUGCACGGUGCGAGAAUGCAAGUGUGGGCAUAUAUAGACAAUUUUCCCGGCGAAAUUGUUUACCGGUAACCAGUGGUAACUCCGCAGCAGCGCGGGAAGGAUUCUUAAUCGUCGUGAUCAAUAACUCUCGAUGCUGUUGCGUGAUGCCACGUAAUAAUGCUGUACGCCGUCGUAAUUUGUAAAGUUUGCGCGAUUCGUAGCAGCCGCGAUAUGUCUCGUGUCUCGUUUCUCCCAUUUUUUACUCCGACCGUAGAAAUUUGUUACGCAGACGCGGAGAUUAUAUCGAUAUCACGUCGAGAUUACGUUUGUAAAUAUGUCUCUGCGAGAUAUAGAUAGUUCGAUUCCUUCAGUUUAAUUUUUAUUUUAGUUGGGGAAAUUGUCAAACGCCACGGUCAGACGCCUGCAACUAAACAUUAGUCAUCACUUGAGCUGUUUAAUGCCUGUUAAAGCGAAGAUAGUUAACGCCUGUUAAACCGUUAGCGCCAAGUAAAAGCUAAUGCUAACUGGUGAUUACAUCAGUUAUGCCAAUUACUUGUUGGUGUGCUCGCGGUUCUUAGGUAUGUUGGAUUUAAUAUCUCAUAAUUAAUCUCGGAUGCAAUGAGGAAAUGUUAGAAAUAUAUUGAAAGCAACAUGUUUACCAGUCAGUUAAACAUACUUGAAGGAUUAGUCACUUGAAAAACAAACUGUGGUCGUAAAUCCAACUUAUCUGAGUUGAGAGAAAAUAUUGAGUCUCGCAGUCGCCAACUAAUAAUGAUAGUUGAAGGUUAUUAUCAACUAAUGUUAUCAGAGUGUUCUCGUUCGUCGCGAGAUAAGUCUCAUGAAAUAACGACUCCAAAUAAAAUAGGAAAAUUGCGCAUAUCUCGUGCGCGAUAUCAUGUGGAAGUGGGCACGUACGUUUCACUCGUUAUGCAUUCUUGUUGAUCUUUACUAAAUAAUAACGUAUGGAAAUUUACUGGCGUUCUAUCGAAUUUAUCGUUGCAUCUACCGCCGUGCUGCGAGCCCGCGAUUAUCGGUUGCGAUAUAUUCAUAGAUAUUUAUUUCGUCGCCCGUAAUAUCUCACUCGAUCACGUAAAUCCUCCCGAGACACGUUCGCAUCUUAUGUCAUUUAUUCACGCGCGUUGAAACGUUGAGAAACGUCGCUUCGCUCUCCAUCUCUCGCGUCAAUAGCGCGAUUGUAUUCGACGAAGUUUCAUACCGGUUUUAUUUGCCGUUGCAUAUAGUUCUUGUAGUUUCACUUAUCGAUAAUGUCGGUUCAACGACACGUGCUCCGUCAUUAAUAUGCGAACGCAGGAUGCAGCUCAAGUCAUUUUAUACAAUGAAUUUAUUCGUAUAUAUACGUCACAGAUGGUGUAUUCCGCACUAGCUAACUCUACAAAAUGAUCCUCCGGUAUUUGUCUGCUGCUGAAUGCGCUACUAAUUAAUUUUCUGCAUUACAACUGGCACUUCUGAAGUAUUGUUUAAUCGCUAGUCUCAAUCACUAGGGCUGUCUCUUUGGUGUGUGUCUUUGGCUUUAGAAAAAUACUCAAUUUUUGAUUCUCUAAGGUCUAAAAGAUGCAAGAAUGAUGAUUGAGCCGCGAGCAUUGCACUGAUCGCCUCGGAUGCUCUUCCUUUCUGUCAAAAAUUGAUUAUUUUUAUGUAUAUAUAUAUAAUUACUAUUUAUUGUUGCCUAUCUCUCUCUCUAUAUAUAUAUGUAUAUAUAAUAUAUAACGCCGUCAAGCAUCCGGAAAAAACGUAAUCGCAAAAUACACGCUUGUAUCUCUAUGAACUAAUAAUGCGGUAUUAAUAAUGUGGUUACACGGUGAUAUACCUUUUGUCUCUGCGAUACAUAGUACCCUACUUAUUGUUUGUGUACCGUUACAUGUGUACUUUUCUCUUCGUCUGCCCUGUACGCCCCUCUAUUUAUAUUUUAUAUACCUUCUGCGGUGAGUCAGCAUGUGUGCGGAUGUAUACAUUGUACGGAAGCACGGACUAUUAUCUACGUUACACGCACUAAGUGACUGACUUAACUAUGAUCCUCCCUAAAAACUACUCAGACUUCGAUUUAAUAUUUAUCUCGCUUAUAAGAAUAACAUCAUGAUCGUAUUUGUAUCGAGUAUGGCGCACCUUUACUCUUAUCGAUAAAUUAAUACUGCGACGACUAGACGACUUGACCACGUGACUGCGACGUGACGUGACGUGUUCGGUCAUGUUUGUCCUUACAAUUACUACCUAAUUUGACACAUAAUUUUUCGUAUACAGUCUUAACAUUUAUGAUGAUGUUUGUAUUGUGCUAAAAAUAUGUCACACAGACUACAAAACUUUUUCUCCUUUUCGCAAUUUUUCUUUCUUUUCUUCUUGGUCAAUAUAUAUAUAUAUAUGUGUGUGUGUGUGUGUGUCCUGUAUAAAGUUCUCUCUGGAGUGUUAACUCCUUGAUCGCUGCGAGUAAAAUAACGUGUCUUCCUUUAGAAUCUUCGUCACUGUUUGAAUAAUGCUACAGUCGUGUAUAAUCUACGUUCGUAGAAUAAUAUUCCUAUAUAUUGGUAUCAGCCGAUAAGUUGUAAAUUUCAUAACCAGUGUAAAACGAUCAGUACUAAACGAUUAUCACAGAGUCGUUAAGCAACGUCGUACAUAUAUGUAUAGGGCGUACCGCUAAUUUUACAAUAUAUCUCGUUAUACG